CACCGGCGGCCCGAGUGGUGAUCGUGAUUAUUGGGUCUAAAGGGUCCGUAGCCGGUUUGGUCAGUCCUCCGGGAAAUCUGACGGCUUAACCGUUAGGCUUUCGGAGGAUACUGCCAGGCUUGGAACCGGGAGAGGUAAGAGGUACUACAGGGGUAGGAGUGAAAUCUUGUAAUCCCUGUGGGACCACCUGUGGCGAAGGCGUCUUACCAGAACGGGUUCGACGGUGAGGGACGAAAGCUGGGGCACGAACCGA
rnacentral:rRNA from 1 species